rnacentral:lncRNA from 1 species
CCUGAGAGGAGGGAAGCAUGGGAAGGGUGGGUGUCAUGGUGGCCCUCAGCGCCAGGGGAGUGACAAGAACACCAGGACUCGUGAUGUUCCUAGGAGAUCGCCUGCUCCGAGCGUAGGUCGCACUUUAUCCUGGGGAGGUGGACACAUCCCUUGUAACGAACGGCCUUCAGCUGCCUAUCGCUAGAAUUAGGUGAAGAAAGUAGCAUGUAAUUUAUUCAACUUAUAUAUCAAAUCAGUAUUGGAGCUGGCACUUGAGCCUGAGUCUAAGAGGUAAAUUCAUGCCCCUUGUCACAGACAAACAAUAAAUACUUC